rnacentral:lncRNA from 1 species
AUGCAUCUACACCCAACCCUCAGGAAAGCUACUUCCUUGACUGCCAAUAAAGUCGGUUGUUCCGGUCAAACCUUGGGAGAAACAGAGCACGGUGGUAUAAGGAAGCAUCGGCUCUCUCUCCUUCUCACCAAAUUUUGACCGACGGCUGUCAUACUGUUCUUGUUGGGGUUAGAGAAAACUUCGGCGACAGUAUCUUUGGCCAUUUUGCUUUUCCUUCAAGUAAAUUCCACACUGGUCGUUGGUUGGAGAGAGAAAGAAGCUUCACCAGCCCAGGGGGCAGGGGUGAUUUUAUCUGGUCGAUUU